AAGAAAAAAGUGAUGAGUCGGCAUAUUAUAGCUACGUUCAAUCGAAAAUUGAAAAUAAGGUCUGUUUUACAAUUUUUUUAUAUGGUUUUGAAAAAGAAGCAUUCAUUAUACCAAAUCAGAAAUAUUUGAGUUUUCUUGACUUUUUCGGAAGCUGGAAACGAUCAAAGUUGAGUGGUAUUUUUCCUAAUGGGAAAUCUUAUGCAAAAAUGCGCCACGGCCUAUUACUCCAGCGGUCGAAUUUGCGGUUUUGAAACUCAUUUUUUUGUUGCCUUUUCAAGUAAAAAGUAUUAAAAUGAAAUUGGUAAAAUGCAAUUACCCCCUUUUCGGUUGGAAACUUUUCCUUGAGUUCCAGUAAUAUUUGCCAACUUUUCCUUGGGUUCCAGAACAUUCGAGGCCAUGAGCUUCCAGGUAAUAUCAAUUUUUGUCCUCUUGAUUUCGGCAAUUCCCCCAUUUUUUCUUUAAUAAUUCAAUUACCUCAUAGCGUUUGAUUUGUUUUUCUGUCUUAAAAUUCAAACAAUUUGGUCGUUUAAACAGAUUGUUCUUUUGGGUGGCUCACCACCCUAGUGAAACUAGCCUUUUCACUCAUUUUGCAAGACACGUCCGCACGCCAGCCUAACUCGCAACGAAUCCCGUGGACUGGCGACCUAUUAAUGUUGCGGUUCUUGUAUAUCGUUAACGACCACUUGCGCUCGUUGUCGUUGGACAGAUAAAAUUCUUUUUACAAUACUGUUACAGACUGUGUAACUUACAGUUAAAUUAUAUUUCGUACGUUUACGCGGUAAAAAGUACAGCAUAUUAUUCACCUAGCAUAAAGAAUUCUUCUGAAUCUGGUUUUCUUUUUCAACAGUGCACUCUUUAUGAUACUGUUUCCUACAAAGCAGUCUAUUCUGUUGGUAGCUACAUUGACUUGGGUAAAGAUAUGAUAGCCAUUUGCUUGUGGGAAAAAAUUCUAGUUUUAUUUGGAUAUGUACAUUUGUGAUGAUAAAGCAGGUUGCAGUUUUGGUACCACGCCUAAACUUUUGCACGAAUUAAAAUUCACAUUCUAUUUGAUUAAGUUAACAAUAAUGUAAAAGUGUGUGAUGUAUAGUCAUGUAGAAGCAUUUUAUCUGAUGAAGUGGUAUAGGUGAAGAUCCUAGUCCACUAGCAAUAGGUAUUGAGCCUUUCCAGCUUGAACCUGUACUUCCAGCAAGUGUUGGGGAAGUAGACAGGCCAAGUUUACCUACCAUGGAAAACAAGUCAAGCUGAGCAAAUCAACAACACGAUUUGG